UACGUAGGGGCCGAGCGUUGUCCGGAUUUAUUGGGCGUAAAGCGCGCGCAGGCGGCCUCGCGCGCCCGACGUGAAAGCCCCCGGCUGAACCGGGGAGGGUCGUUGGGGACGGCGGGGCUUGAGGGCGGGAGAGGGUGGUGGAAUUCCCGGUGUAGUGGUGAAAUGCGUAGAGAUCGGGAGGAACACCCGUGGCGAAGGCGGCCGCCUGGGCCGAACCUGACGCUGAGGCGCGAAGGCGUGGGGAGCGAACGGG
rnacentral:rRNA from 1 species